rnacentral:rRNA from 1 species
CCUACGGGAGGCAGCAGUGGGGAAUAUUGCACAAUGGGGGAAACCCUGAUGCAGCAACGCCGCGUGAAGGAAGACGGCUUUCGGAUUGUAAACUUCUGUUCUUAGUGAAGAAGAAUGACGGUAGCUAAGGCGCAAGCCACGGCUAACUACGUGCCAGCAGCCGCGGUAAUACGUAGGGGGCAAGCGUUGUCCGGAAUUACUGGGUGUAAAGGGAGCGCAGGCGGGAAGCCAAGUCAGCUGGGAAAACUACGGGCUUAACUUGUAGACUGCAGUUGAAACUGGUGUUCUUGAGUGAAGUAGAGGUUGGCGGAAUGCCGAGUGUAGCGGUGAAAUGCGUAGAUAUUCGGAGGAACACCGGUGGCGAAGGCGGCAAACUGGGCUUUAACUGACGCUGAGGCUCGAAAGUGUGGGGAGCAAACAGGAUUAGAUACCCGGGUAGUC